UCUGGCUCAGAUUGAACGCUGGCGGCAGGCCUAACACAUGCAAGUCGAACGGUAGCACAGAGAGCUUGCUCUCGGGUGACGAGUGGCGGACGGGUGAGUAAUGUCUGGGAAACUGCCCGAUGGAGGGGGAUAACUACUGGAAACGGUAGCUAAUACCGCAUAACGUCUUCGGACCAAAGUGGGGGACCUUCGGGCCUCACACCAUCGGAUGUGCCCAGAUGGGAUUAGCUAGUAGGUGGGGUAAUGGCUCACCUAGGCGACGAUCCCUAGCUGGUCUGAGAGGAUGACCAGCCACACUGGAACUGAGACACGGUCCAGACUCCUACGGGAGGCAGCAGUGGGGAAUAUUGCACAAUGGGCGCAAGCCUGAUGCAGCCAUGCCGCGUGUAUGAAGAAGGCCUUCGGGUUGUAAGGUACUUUCAGC
rnacentral:rRNA from 1 species